CCGGGUUGCGGACAGUGUCUGGUGGGUAGUUUGACUGGGGCGGUCUCCUCCUAAAGAGUAACGGAGGAGCACGAAGGUUGGCUAAUCCUGGUCGGACAUCAGGAGGUUAGUGCAAUGGCAUAAGCCAGCUUGACUGCGAGCGUGACGGCGCGAGCAGGUGCGAAAGCAGGUCAUAGUGAUCCGGUGGUUCUGAAUGGAAGGGCCAUCGCUCAACGGAUAAAAGGUACUCCGGGGAUAACAGGCUGAUACCGCCCAAGAGUUCAUAUCGACGGCGGUGUUUGGCACCUCGAUGUCGGCUCAUCACAUCCUGGGGCUGAAGUAGGUCCCAAGGGUAUGGCUGUUCGCCAUUUAAAGUGGUACGCGAGCUGGGUUUAGAACGUCGUGAGACAGUUCGGUCCCUAUCUGCCGUGGGCGCUGGAGAACUGAGGGGGGCUGCUCCUAGUACGAGAGGACCGGAGUGGACGCAUCACUGGUGUUCGGGUUGUCAUGCCAAUGGCACUGCCCGGUAGCUAAAUGCGGAAGAGAUAAGUGCUGAAAGCAUCUAAGCACGAAACUUGCCCCGAGAUGAGUUCUCCCUGACUCCUUGAGAGUCCUGAAGGAACGUUGAAGACGACGACGUUGAUAGGCCGGGUGUGUAAGCGCAGCGAUGCGUUGAGCUAACCGGUACUAAUGAACCGUGAGGCUUAACCUU
rnacentral:rRNA from 1 species